GACGAACGCUGGCGGCGUGCUUAACACAUGCAAGUCGUACGGACGGACCCAAGAGCUUGCUCUUGGUGAAGUUAGUGGCGGACGGGUGAGUAACGCGUGGGUAACCUGGCCUGUAGAGGGGGAUAACACCGCGAAAGUGGUGCUAAUACCGCAUGACAUUGCCGGAUCGCAUGGUCUGGUAAUCAAAGGAGUAAUCCGCUAUAGGAUGGACCCGCGUCUGAUUAGCUAGUUGGUGGGGUAACGGCCUACCAAGGCGACGAUCAGUAGCCGGCCUGAGAGGGCGAACGGCCACACUGGGACUGAGACACGGCCCAGACUCCUACGGGAGGCAGCAGUGGGGAAUCUUCCGCAAUGGACGAAAGUCUGACGGAGCAACGCCGCGUGAAUGAAGAAGGCCUUCGGGUUGUAAAGUUCUGUCUUCAGGGAAGAAAACAAUGACGGUACCUGAGGAGGAAGCCCCGGCUAACUACGUGCCAGCCGCCGCAGUAA
rnacentral:rRNA from 1 species